UGGGGAAUAUUGGACAAUGGGCGAAAGCCUGAUCCAGCCAUGCCGCGUGUGUGAAGAAGGUCUUCGGAUUGUAAAGCACUUUAAGUUGGGAGGAAGGGCAGUAAGCGAAUACCUUGCUGUUUUGACGUUACCGACAGAAUAAGCACCGGCUAACUCUGUGCCAGCAGCCGCGGUAAUACAGAGGGUGCAAGCGUUAAUCGGAAUUACUGGGCGUAAAGCGUGCGUAGGCGGCUUUUUAAGUCGGAUGUGAAAUCCCCGAGCUUAACUUGGGAAUUGCAUUCGAUACUGGGAAGCUAGAGGAUGGGAGAGGAUGGUAGAAUUCCAGGUGUAGCGGUGAAAUGCGUAGAGAUCUGGAGGAAUACCGAUGGCGAAGGCAGCCAUCUGGCCUAAUACUGACGCUGAGGUACGAAAGCAUGGGGAGCAAACAGG
rnacentral:rRNA from 1 species